AUGGGGUCAAAAUGGGGGAAAAUGGUAAACGAGUGGAAAAAACAAAAAACAAAGGAUAACAGGGACCACAUCUUGCUAAAAAUAAGCUUGAAUUCAAACACAGCCAUCCCAGGCUGCGCCGAGCGUAAAUAUUUUUCUUUCUUUGGCAUAACAUCCCCCCCCCGUUUCUCUGCGACCCUCCUGCAGCGGAGUCCCAAGAACAGGGGUUUUGGGCCCAAAAUCAGUUUUCCUACAUCGCCAACCACGGUGCUUCCCCUCCCCGAAACCUCCCGCGGUGGGGCCCGAGGGGCUCUGCGGCCCCCGUUCCUGCGGCGUGCGCACGUAGCGGGGAGCGAGCCCGGCCAAGAGGCGCGGGACUGUUUGUGCAGAAACUUUCUGGACAGGCUGUUCCCGGCCUGCCGGGACCCCCCCGCCUCCUUCCCUCCCCGCCGGAGAUUAGAUUCGCUCCAUCACGCUGCUCCGCUGCGCUGGAGGGGCCGGGCCCGGGGGAAGGCGAUGCAAGGGGCUCGGCGAGUGCCUCGGCGCACGUCCACGGCGGGCGGUGGGCACGGAUUUCUGCCCCGAGGGGGGCUGCGGCUACCCCUGUCCUUGCCAAGGUCCCAAAAAGUUGGGUUUAGGCGGAUUUAUGCUUUAUUUCUGCAUGCAGGAGGGGGGGGGGGGGGGGGGGGAAGGGCCGUGAGUGCCAAAAAUCUGCUUGGGGACAUGCGAGUGAAACAUGGGCGUGCUGAGAGGGGGGCACGGAGCAUCCCCAGCCCCUCUGUCCAUGCGUACACCCAAAAUGCGACCCACGCAGCCUGGCCACGGUGGGUGCUCGCACCCCACGGCCAAGCCCCCCGUGCCAGGGCCGCACGCACGGCGUUGGGGUUUUGUCCCGGCGCGUGCCUUGGCUCCGGCGCGAGGCCCGGGGAGGGAGGCGGGCGCGGGGCUGCGCCGGUACAUGGCGUUCUGCCGCCGGCACCCACAGGAAAACCAGCGAGCAGCCCUGAACGAGGCUCUUUGUUCGUGNUUUCCCUUUCCACUCCCCUCCCCGCCUCAACUUUUUGCUCCCUUCCCCCUCCGCUCCCAGCUGCGGCCAAGCCUCAAAAUAAUUUCAGAGCAGCUCGAGACCCCCCCCCCCAGCUUUGGGCAGGGUGCUACAAAACCCCGGAGAGGUUUGGUCGUCCCCAAGCCUGCCCCACAGAUGCACAAAGCAGAAAUGGGGCUCUCCAGGAGUUUCCAAACCUGUGUUUGGAGCAGAGGGAGCUCUGCAGCAAGCCCUCCGGUUCUCUCGCUGCCUUACAUAAAGUGUUUACCGAGCGGGAGGAGGGACGGACCGACAACAUGUUUUUGCGUUUGUCAUACUGUACACGAUGA
rnacentral:lncRNA from 1 species